rnacentral:rRNA from 1 species
UACGUAGGUGGCAAGCGUUUGUCCGGGAAUCACUGGGCGUAAAGGGUGCGUAGGCGGGUCUUUAAGUCAGGGGUGAAAUCCUGGAGCUCAACUCCAGAACUGCCUUUUGAUACUGAAGAUCUUGAGUUCGGGAGAGGUGAGUGGAACUGCGAAGUGUAGAGGUGAAAUUCGUAGAUAUUGGGAAGGAACACCGGUGGCGAAGGCGGCUCACUGGCUCAUUACUGACGCUCGAGGCGCGAUAGCGUGGGGAUCAAACAGG